CAGAGGUUACUGCUAUCGAGGUUCGACUAAGCCAUGCGAGUCGAAUGUAGCAAUACAUGGCGAACUGCUCAGUAACACGUGGACAACCUGCCCUUAGGACGGGGAUAAACCCGGGAAACUGGGUAUAAUACCCGAUAGGUCUCGAUUGCUGGAAUGCAUCGAGAUUUAAAGCUCCGGCGCCUAAGGAUGGGUCUGCGGCCUAUCAGGUAGUAGUGGGUGUAGCGUACCUACUAGCCUACGACGGGUACGGGUUGUGAGAGCAAGAGCCCGGAGAUGGAUUCUGAGACACGAAUCCAGGCCCUACGGGGUGCAGCAGGCGCGAAAACUUUACAAUGCUGGCAACAGCGAUAAGGGAACCUCGAGUGCCAGGUUACAAAUCUGGCUGUCGAGAUGCCUAAAAAGCAUUUCAUAGCAAGGGCCGGGCAAGACCGGUGCCAGCCGCCGCGGUAACACCGGCGGCUCGAGUGGUAACCGUUAUUAUUGGGUCUAAAGGGUCUGUAGCCGGCCGGAUAAGUCUCUUGAGAAAUCUGGCAGCUUAACUGUCAGGCUUUCAGGAGAUACUGUCUGGCUCGAGGCCGGGAGAGGUGAGAGGUACUUCAGGGGUAGGGGUGAAAUCUUGUAAUCCUUGAAGGACCACCAGUGGCGAAGGCGUCUCACCAGAACGGACCUGACGGCAAGGGACGAAAGCUAGGGGCACGAACCGGAUUAGAUACCCGGGUAGUCCUAGCCGUAAACGAUACUCGCUAGGUGUCGGCCACGGUGCGACCGUUGUCGGUGCCGUAGGGAAGCCGUGAAGCGAGCCACCUGGGAAGUACGGCCGCAAGGCUGAAACUUAAAGGAAUUGGCGGGGGAGCACCACAACGGGUGGAGCUUGCGGUUU
rnacentral:rRNA from 1 species